rnacentral:tRNA from 1 species
AGUAUCGUGUGGGGCCAAUCCAGUUACUUUGAUGUUGUAAAGUUCGAGCUGCUAAUAGUUCCGAUGCUU